AACGAACGCUGGUGGCAUGCCUUAUACAUGCAAGUCGAACGAGAAAGCCCUUUCGGGGGCAAGUACAGUGGCGCACGGGUGAGUAACACGUGGGUGACCUACCUUUUAGUGGGGGACAACAGUAAGAAAUUACUGCUAAUACCGCAUACGUUAAGCUCUUCUGAAUUGAGCUUAAGAAAGAUUGCCUCUUUACAAUGCAGUCGCUAAGAGAAGGGCCCGCGGUCCAUUAGUUUGAUGGUGGGGUAAUGGCCUACCAUGGCUUCGAUGGAUAGCCGGUCUGAGAGGAUGAUCGGCCACACUGGAACUGAGACACGGUCCAG
rnacentral:rRNA from 1 species